UACGUAGGGGGCAAGCGUUGUCCGGAUUUAUUGGGCGUAAAGAGCGUGUAGGCGGCUUUACAGGUCCGUUGUGAAAACUCGAGGCUCAACCUCGAGACGCCGGUGGAAACCGUAAAGCUAGAGUCCGGAAGAGGAGAGUGGAAUUCCUGGUGUAGCGGUGAAAUGCGCAGAGAUCGGAAAGAACACCAACGGCGAAAGCACUCUGCUGGGCCGACACUGACACUGAGAGACGAAAGCUAGGGGAGCGAAUGGG
rnacentral:rRNA from 1 species